AAACGACUCUCGGCAACGGAUAUCUCGGCUCACGCAUCGAUGAAGAACGUAGCAAAAUGCGAUACUUGGUGUGAAUUGCAGAAUCCCGUGAACCAUCGAGUUUUUGAACGCAAGUUGCGCCCGAAGCCAUUCGGUCGAGGGCACGCCUGCCUGGGCGUCACG
rnacentral:rRNA from 1 species